UACGUAGGGUCCGAGCGUUGUCCGGAAUUACUGGGCGUAAAGCGUGCGCAGGCGGCUUUCCAAGCGCCACGUGAAAGCCCCCGGGCUCAACCCGGGAGGGUCGUGGCGAACUGGGAGCUUGAGGCCGGUAGAGGUGGGUGGAAUUCCUGGUGGAGCGGUGAAAUGCGUAGAGAUCGGAAAGAACACCAACGGCGAAAGCACUCUGCUGGGCCGACACUGACACUGAGAGACGAAAGCUAGGGGAGCGAAUGGG
rnacentral:rRNA from 1 species